AGGGGUAUAGUUUAGUGGUAGAACUACGGUCUCCAACACCGUCAGCGUGGGUUCGAGUCCUACUACCCCUG
rnacentral:tRNA from 1 species